GGAUAAAGCGUGUGAAAAGCACGCUCGCCGAAAGCCCAAGGUUUCCUGCGCAACGUUCAUCGGCGCAGGGUGAGUCGGCCCCUAAGGCGAGGCCGAAAGGCGUAGUCGAUGGGAAACGGGUCAAUAUUCCCGUACCGAUCUGUAAUGCGAUGGGGGGACGGAGAAGGUUAGCUCAGCCAUCUGUUGGAAUAGGUGGUUUAAGCGUGUAGGCGUGCUGCAUAGGCAAAUCCGUGCGGCUUAGUCGAGGCGUGAUGACGAGGAUCUUCGGAUCUGAAGUGAGUGAUACCCAGCUUCCAGGAAAAGCCUCUAAGCUUCAGUUACAGAUUGACCGUACCGCAAACCGACACAGGUGGGCAGGAUGAAAAUUCUAAGGCGCUUGAGAGAACUCAGGAGAAGGAACUCGGCAAAUUGAUACCGUAACUUCGGGAGAAGGUAUGCCCCGGUAACGUGAAGCCCCUGCGGGUGGAGCGUGAUGGGGUCGCAGAGAAUCGGUGGCUGCAACUGUUUAAUAAAAACACAGCACUCUGCAAAGGCGAAAGCCGACGUAUAGGGUGUGACGCCUGCCCGGUGCCGGAAGGUUAAGUGAUGGGGUGCAAGCUCCUGAUCGAAGCCCCGGUAAACGGCGGCCGUAACGAUAACGGUCCUAAGGUAGCGAAAUUCCUUGUCGGGUAAGUUCCGACCUGCACGAAUGGCGUAAUGAUGGCCACACUGUCUCCUCCUGAGACUCAGCGAAGUUGAAAUGUUUGUGAAGAUGCAAUCUCCCCGCGGCUAGACGGAAAGACCCCAUGAACCUUUACUGUAGCUUUGCAUUGGACUUUGACGGGACUUGUGUAGGAUAGGUGGGAGGCUGUGAGGCGUGGUCGCCAGAUCGCGCGGAGCCGACGUUGAAAUACCACCCUGGUGUCGUUGAGGUUCUAACCUUGGUCCGUGAAUCCGGAUCGGGGACCGUGCAUGGCAGGCAGUUUGACUGGGGCGGUCUCCUCCCAAAGUGUAACGGAGGAGUACGAAGGUCUUCUAAGCACGGUCGGACAUCGUGCUCAUAGUGCAAUGGCAAAAGAAGGCUUGACUGCGAGUCCCACAAGACGAGCAGGUGCGAAAGCAGGUCAUAGUGAUCCGGUGGUUCUGUAUGGAAGGGCCAUCGCUCAACGGAUAAAGGGUACUCUGGGGAUAACAGGCUGAUUCCGCCCAAGAGUUCAUAUCGACGGCGGAGUUUGGCACCUCGAUGUCGGCUCAUCACAUCCUGGGGCUGUAGCCGGUCCCAAGGGUAUGGCUGUUCGCCAUUUAAAGUGGUACGUGAGCUGGGUUUAAAACGUCGUGAGACAGUUUGGUCCCUAUCUGCCGUGGGCGCUGGAAAUUUGAGGGGGCCUGCUCCUAGUACGAGAGGACCGGAGUGGACGAACCUCUGGUGUACCGGUUGUCACGCCAGUGGCAUCGCCGGGUAGCUAAGUUCGGAAGAGAUAAACGCUGAAAGCAUCUAAGCGUGAAACUCGCCUCAAGAUGAGAUUUCCCGCG
rnacentral:rRNA from 1 species